rnacentral:rRNA from 1 species
UACGUAGGGUGCGAGCGUUGUCCGGAAUUAUUGGGCGUAAAGAGCUCGUAGGCGGUUUGUCGCGUCGGCCGUGAAAUCUCCACGCUUAACGUGGAGCGUGCGGUCGAUACGGGCAGACUUGAGUUCGGUAGGGGAGACUGGAAUUCCUGGUGUAGCGGUGAAAUGCGCAGAUAUCAGGAGGAACACCGGUGGCGAAGGCGGGUCUCUGGGCAUGACCUGACGCUGAGGAGCGAAAGUGUGGGGAGCGAACAGG